AUGUCAUGCCUGGGAACACUGAGGAGUGAUUAUGGGCUUCCAGAGAGUACGGAUAUCUGGUUUUUCAUUAGCAACAGUUAUGACAAUAUGUCACCAAAAGCACAGAAGGUCCCAAGGGCCCCUUUACUGAGGAAUAGACUGGAAACAAAACAUGCCGCCAGAGAGCCUGUCAGUCCUUUCCUCUGCCAGAUUUCACCCUACCCAGGGGCUGUCAGCAGUCCGGAUCUGGGGCUUGACUAUGCCCCCGGAGACAAAAGAAAGAAAGCAAUACAAGCUGAUGAAGAAAAUUCCAAUCCUUUUUUCCUGGCCAACAGGUCCCCGAGGAGAGAGAGGCAUCCCAGGGGAAUCGAUCAUUGGAAGCAGCUCUUCUUCAGGGGCUGCUUCUGCUCCUCACACUGCUCAAUUGCAAGGCCCCCCUGGACCACCAGGACCACCAGGACCACCAGGUGAUUAUCCCAGGAGCCUUGGAAAGGCUGGGAGAGGAUUAUGAAGAAGCCCAAAACACUCUAUUUCCAAAAUC
rnacentral:lncRNA from 1 species